GACGAACGCUGGCGGCGUGCCUAAUACAUGCAAGUAGAACGCUGAAGGAGGAGCUUGCUUCUCUGGAUGAGUUGCGAACGGGUGAGUAACGCGUAGGUAACCUGCCUGGUAGCGGGGGAUAACUAUUGGACACGAUAGCUAAUACCGCAUAACAGUAGAUAUCGCAUGAUAUCUACUUGAAAGGUGCAAUUGCAUCACUACCAGAUGGACCUGCGUUGUAUUAGCUAGUUGGUGAGGUAACGGCUCACCAAGGCGACGAUACAUAGCCGACCUGGGAGGGUGAUCGGCCACACUGGGACUGAGACACGGCCCAGACUCCUACGGGAGGCAGCAGUAGGGAAUCUUCGGCAAUGGACGGAAGUCUGACCGAGCAACGCCGCGUGAGUGAAGAAGGUUUUCGGAUCGUAAAGCUCUGUUGUAAGAGAAGAACGAGUGUGAGAGUGGAAAGUUCACACUGUGACGGUAUCUGACCAGAAAGGGACGGCUAACUACGUG
rnacentral:rRNA from 1 species